rfam:Bacillus sp. OV166 genome assembly, contig: Ga0115450_11
CUCUUAUCCUGAGCUGGUGGAGGGACAGGCCCAAUGAAACCCAGCAACCUGCAGUAUGAAAAGAUUGACCACUUAAAAGGUCCUUUUCAGGAUGCGAAGGUGCUAAUCUGACGCAAGGCUUUGACCUUGAACGAUAAGAG